UUUCCCACCCAGGGAUUUUUCGAGUCUAAAUUCAGUCGCAGCCCUAUGGACCAUCCUGUACCGGAAUUUCUUAAUUCGGACCCUGACUCGAGGAUUCGCCGAAAGGAGCAAGGCCACGCGUUCACCUUAACGCACUCAUUACUCGUUGCUCCAUGGAAAGGUUUCUCCGCUGUUCAAAUGUAUAACUGACGAGACUUUUUUUUUAUUUACAAUAAGUGGGAGACCCGCCUAUGUAAUCUUUGUUUCUUGUACGUAUGUACGUACUUAUUGUGCAUGUGGUAGACGCGUAACGAAAGGAGGAUCAUUGCGCUUCCGUUUGUAUGCUAAUAUUGCGGCAGGUUGCGCAACAGCUGUUUCAUUGAACCAUAAAAUUCAGUGAAAGGAUACAAGAGGUGAAGGAAGAGAUUGACAAUGGCGGAUACGAAGUGAAUCGGGUAUAAAACAGUUGUUAUUCCUUUGUCAGUUAAUUCGAGGUUAUCCCUAUUAUUUUUCUAGCAGGAUACGAGUUUUGGCUGCUGAUUAUAUUCGCGCGUGAGAAGUAUAUCUAUGGAUUAGCUGCGUGCCGUAUAAAUCAAUCCGCGCUUCGCACGUAACAAAGGCAUCUGCUUCGUGUUACGGUGAUUCUUCCUUCUGCUGAAUUAUUCGCGGACGCAUUUUAAUGAGUGAAAGAUACGUGAAAUUUCGAAAUUCUAGGAGAAUCGACUUUGCUGCUAUUCUUCUCUGACGCUGCGCUCUGGAAUGGCUUUCGGAAUUAAACCGGAUGUGACGUCCUCCUGGGAUUCGGAAACAGAUCGGAAUUACAAACAAGAAGCACACUGUGGAAUCAUGGCACAAGACGUAACGAAUUGAUGCGGAUGCUGUUACUGCAAGAUCGGCCUGGCUGAGGAGAAGAACCGCAAGGUACCAUAAUGCGUGGGAGGUAUGCCAGUGGAUAACGGAAACUUGGAAACUUCUACUUCAAUAUGAUAUAGUCUAUUCAGUACUUGAUAUAUUAUUGCAGUCGUCUAAUAUCAAAGCAAUUGGUAGUUAGUACCACUUUCGGAAUCAACGACCUCAACUACACCGAAGUGUGCCAUUGUACUAAGAGAAGUAAAGUGUUUAAUAAAUUAGACGAUUGUUACCUGGAA